AUAAUAAUAUUCAAGAUAACCAACCAGAUGCUCCGCAGGGCGUAGCUUUAUACGACCGCAGAGGUUGAACCCUGAACGGUUGGGGCAAGUAUGGACACAACAUUCAAGCUGGAUUCAGCUCUAAAUUUGGAUUGUGAUUAAAUAGUUGACACAGCAUAGGUUUCUGACACAGAAUGAAUGUGUUCUAAUGAACUUAAAAUUUUUGUUUUCUUUUAGAGCAAUUCACUAUGCUGUUGAAUAUUAAUCCUCUCAAAAAAAUGUUUGAAGAAAUUUUCUUUUUUAUUUAUGAAAUU
rnacentral:lncRNA from 1 species